GGCUCGUUGGUCUAGGGGUAUGAUUCUCGCUUUGGGAAUGAGAGGUUCCCGGGUACAAAUCCCGGACGAGCCC